ACACUUGGAAACAGGUGCUAAUACCGCAUAACAGUUUAUGCCGCAUGGCAUAAGAGUGAAAGGCGCUUUCGGGUGUCGCUGAUGGAUGGACCCGCGGUGCAUUAGCUAGUUGGUGAGGUAACGGCUCACCAAGGCCACGAUGCAUAGCCGACCUGAGAGGGUGAUCGGCCACACUGGGACUGAGACACGGCCCAGACUCCUACGGGAGGCAGCAGUAGGGAAUCUUCGGCAAUGGACGAAAGUCUGACCGAGCAACGCCGCGUGAGUGAAGAAGGUUUUCGGAUCGUAAAACUCUGUUGUUAGAGAAGAACAAGGACGUUAGUAACUGAACGUCCCCUGACGGUAUCUAACCAGAAAGCCACGGCUAACUACGUGCCAGCAGCCGCGGUAAUACGUAGGUGGCAAGCGUUGUCCGGAUUUAUUGGGCGUAAAGCGAGCGCAGGCGGUUUCUUAA
rnacentral:rRNA from 1 species